UACGUAGGGGGCGAGCGUUGUCCGGAUUUAUUGGGCGUAAAGAGCGCGCAGGCGGUCGUUCAAGUCGAGUGUGAAAGCCCCCGGCUCAACUGGGGAGGGUCACGCGAUACUGGUCGACUCGAAGGCAGGAGAGGGUAGUGGAAUUCCCGGUGUAGUGGUGAAAUGCGUAGAUAUCGGGAGGAACACCAGUGGCGAAGGCGACUACCUGGCCUGUUCUUGACGCUGAGGCGCGAAAGCUAGGGGAGCAAACGGGG
rnacentral:rRNA from 1 species